UCGAUUUUACUCCACUCUGCUCUUCUCCAUCUUCACUUUCCAGAAAAUGUCUCCCUCCUGACUUCUCUCAAACAAAGUCCUAAUCGAACGUGCGGUGAAGUUUUCGGGCUUCGCCUCCGGCGAGCACUCUCUGGAGACGAGCUUGUGCCGUCGGAUUCAAGCGCGACCUUGGAGAAGGUGAAGAGCGAGCCAGCACAACUCGAACUCCAACUCAUUCCAGCUCUUGGUUUCCGAUCCGACGGUGAAUAUCAAGAACCAGAGGCCGGAGAAGAGGAAGGAGCGGGAGAAGAAGGGCAAAGGGUGUACGAAGAAGACCAAGAUGGAAACCUCCCAAGACGCUGAGAAGCUUCCUUACGUUCACGUUAGAGCUCAUCGCGGUCAAGCUACUGAUAGCCAUAGCUUAGCAGAGCAAGCGACGAGAGAGAAAAUUAAUGCUCCGAUGAAGUUGUUGCGGGAGCUGGUCCCCGGUUGCAGUAAGGAUUGGAGAAUUUUGGCCAUGGAAUAUGCUAGAUAGAAGCUGCUUAGAAGUGCUGGGGAGACACAUAAAGUGGGUGCUUCAAAUACGAGUGCAAUUAACAAUUGCUCAAGUUUUAUAGAAAAAAAAACAAUUGCCCCGUAUUCUUAUGAUGCAGCUAUAUACUUAUCAAGGUGGGAAUGACAUCCGCCAUUUGGAGAUCUAUCUAAAAACACUCUACCUUGCAACUGGAAUUGGUGUUGCAGGAUUCCUCAGUGCUUCAAAUACGAGUGCAAUUAACAAUUGCUCAAGUUUUAUAGAAAAAAAAACAAUUGCCCCGUAUUCUUAUGAUGCAGCUAUAUACUUAUCAAGGUGGGAAUGACAUCCGCCAUUUGGAGAUCUAUCUAAAAACACUCUACCUUGCAACUGGAAUUGGUGUUGCAGGAUUCCUCAGGGCUACGCCGGCUGUGAUGGUCAAUAAGCAGAGGAGUUCAUUCUCUUCGUGGAGUGUAUACCAGAAGCGUAACAACCUGGUGACAACCUUCAAGACCUCGAUACUGUGGUGGAUGAUUCUCUCACAGUCUGCUCAGGUGCUUCAGGGAUCUUCAUGCAAUAGCAACAAAUAGAGAGAAUAUAUUGUGUUCUCUUUAGGGAUGAGAAGACUUCUGAAGAUGAAACCUAUUGAAAUAGUUUAGCAAUGGGUUAAAUUAUGUUGAGGAAAUCUGCACUUUUUGGUAGGGAAUAUGCACUUUUUGGUUUGGAGUUGAUGGUCCUUUCAGGUUUGUGUGUCUUUCAGAUUUGUCUACAGCUGUCGGUAUUUAUACAUGAUGUAAAGGAAUAAAAACAAUUGAGUUGAUUACAAAUCACCGUAGACAUCAAUAACAAAUUUGUCUACUGUUAGCUUUUACAACUUUUACUCGAUUGUGUUGUGCUCUGCUGUUGUGUGGUACCCGUGGUACCCUUUUGUUGUAAAUCAUGAUCACUCUGUAAUUGUCCUCCAUUGUUUGCUGUAGUGUCAUGCCGAGUGCCCUCAUUCUGUUUGUGAAAAGGUGGCAUAGAGUCUGUUAUUUCAAUAUGUACUACUAAUAAUGUAUUUAGCAUAUCAUUCUUACAGGUUGAGGGUGUUAAGCUCAAUGUAAAUGCUAUACUCCACUUGAAUUAUUAGAUUUUUUUCCCAAUGUUAAAUUUUUUAUUAGGAUCAA